UACAGAGGGUGCGAGCGUUAAUCGGAAUUACUGGGCGUAAAGCGCGCGUAGGCGGCUUUGCAAGUCGAGUGUGAAGUCCCCAGGCUUAACCUGGGAACUGCAUUCGAGACUGCAUAGCUAGAGUAUGGGAGAGGGAAGUGGAAUUUCAGGUGUAGCGGUGAAAUGCGUAGAUAUCUGAAGGAACAUCAGUGGCGAAAGCGACUUCCUGGACCAAUACUGACGCUCAUGUGCGAAAGCGUGGGGAGCAAACAGG
rnacentral:rRNA from 1 species